rnacentral:tRNA from 1 species
GCAGCUAUGGCCGAGUGGUCUAAGGCGGUGGACUUAAGUUGUUUGUUCUCUCUCGAGACUUGAACCUAAACCCACUGGGAAACCGCGUGAGUUCGAACCUCACUGGCUGCA